UAGGGAAUCUUCCGCAAUGGACGCAAGUCUGACGGAGCAACGCCGCGUGAGUGAAGAAGGAUUUCGGUUCGUAAAACUCUGUUGUUAGAGAAGAACAGCGCAUGGAGUAACUGUUAUGCGUGUGACGGUAUCUAACCAGAAAGCCACGGCUAACUACGUGCCAACAGCCGCGGUAAUACGUAGGUCCCGAGCGUUGUCCGGAUUUAUUGGGCGUAAAGCGAGCGCAGGCGGUUAGAAAAGUCUGAAGUGAAAGGCAGUGGCUCAACCAUUGUAGGCUUUGGAAACUGUUUAACUUGAGUGCAGAAGGGGAGAGUGGAAUUCCAUGUGUAGCGGUGAAAUGCGUAGAUAUAUGGAGGAACACCGGUGGCGAAAGCGGCUCUCUGGUCUGUAACUGACGCUGAGGCUCGAAAGCGUGGGGAGCGAACAGG
rnacentral:rRNA from 1 species